GGGAUUUGGCUCAGUUGGUAGAGUGCUUGCCUGGCAUGGGUGAGAUUCUGGGUUGGAUCCCCAGUAACCCA
rnacentral:tRNA from 1 species